rnacentral:rRNA from 1 species
GACGAACGCUGGCGGCGUUCCUAAUACAUGCAAGUCGAAAGCAGUGGGGACGGGUGAGUAACACGUGGGUAACCUCCCAUCAGAGGGGAUAACACUUGGAAACAGGUGCUAAACCGAUACUGAUGGAUGGACCCGCGGUGCAUUAGCUAGUAGGUGGGGUAAAGGCUCACCUAGGCGACGAUCUCUAGCUGGUCUGCGAGGAGAAUCAGCCAAACUGGGACUGAGACACGGCCCAGAUUCCUACGUGAGGCAGCAGUGGGGAAUAUUGCACAAUGGGCGCAAGCCUGAUGCAGCCAUGCCGCGUGUAUGAAGAAGGCCUUAGGGUUGUAAAGUACUUUCAGCGGGGAGGCGUUACCCGCAGAAGAAGCACCGGCUAACUCCGUGCCAGCAGCCGCGGUAAUUC